rnacentral:rRNA from 1 species
GCCCAAAUAUAAUUUUUUUAGGUGCUACCUGCUCAGUGGUCCUUAAUUGAUAUAGGGUAAUUCCUAUAAAUGGGAUUAAACAGCCGCCCUAGUUAAGGUGAUAAUUAAGCAUAAUCUGAUACCGUUUAAUUGGCGGAGUGUUGAAUGGUGUAACGAGUGCGAAGCUGUCUUAGUUGGAGAAUCUAUGAAGUUGAAAUACUAGUUAAGAUGCUAGUUAAAAUUGUAAGACGAGAAGACCCUAUAGAGCUUUACUCUAUUCUUUUUUGAAAUCUGAAGUACGAAGUAUUACUAUUUUGUAAUUAGUAUUGUUGAGAUAGUUAGAAAGAGUGGGAGUUUAAGUGGGGCGCUUACCUAUUAUUAAAAACAUAGGUUAACAAUAUGAACACCAGUUCAUUUACUGUGUAAAUUAUGUUUUUACCAGUUACAACAGUAGGUGAAAUGACCCGUUAAGUGCUUACAAAAGCUUUAACGACAGAAGAUAAAAGUUACCUUAGGGAUAACAGGGUAAUUCUGGACGGGAGGAACACAUCUAUUCCGGAGUUUGCCACCUCGAUGUUGAAUUAAGACAUCCUGGAGGGCGUAGAGGCUCCCAAGGGUAGGACUGUUCGUCCUUUAAAUGUCUU